rnacentral:miRNA from 1 species
GGUACCCUUUCAGAUAGUCUCA